CGCUAUCACUCCUACGGGAGGCAGCAGUGGGGAAUAUUGCACAAUGGGCGCAAGCCUGAUGCAGCCAUGCCGCGUGUGUGAAGAAGGCCUUCGGGUUGUAAAGCACUUUCAGUCGUGAGGAAGGUAGUGUAGUUAAUAGCUGCAUUAUUUGACGUUAGCGACAGAAGAAGCACCGGCUAACUCCGUGCCAGCAGCCGCGGUAAUACGGAGGGUGCGAGCGUUAAUCGGAAUUACUGGGCGUAAAGCGCAUGCAGGUGGUUUGUUAAGUCAGAUGUGAAAGCCCGGGGCUUAACCUCGGAAUUGCAUUUGAAACUGGCAGGCUAGAGUCUUGUAGAGGGGGUAGAAUUUCAGGUGUAGCGGUGAAAUGCGUAGAGAUCUGAAGGAAUACCAGUGGCGAAGGCGGCCCCCUGGACAAAGACUGACGCUCAGAUGCGAAAGCGUGGGGAGCAAACAGGAUUAGAUACCCUGGUAG
rnacentral:rRNA from 1 species